CCUUGGAGCAGGUGUCAGAUGGUGGCUUGGAGUUACCACACUGGAAGAGGAGAAAGGCACUGAGGAGGGAGACUUCCGAGAGGUCACUCUCUUUGUUCAUGGUUUUCAGGAUUCAGACCAGACCAAUGACUGUUUUAACAUGGGGAAGUGAGCAAAAUAGCCAGUCGUCAUUGAUUUGUUCAGCCCAUUAGCAAGAUUUGAUACUCCAGAAGUGAGUGAGGCAAUCCCUGGCCUAAGUGUCCAUUAUUUCCUGUUGUAAAGAAAUGUGCUUACCCAGUAGCCGGCUCUGCUGGUGGUGGGGACACUCUUGGGGGAAGGCCAGCAGGCCAGAGUGGCCCUGCAUGGCUUGCUGUGCUCCUGACCUGAGUGGGUUCUCUAGGUGUCCAGCCUGUGCUGAAACCUCUAGACAGUGAGAAGCCUUCCCCCACCUGUGGACUCACAUUUGUAGACCACAUUCAAGAAACUCAGAAACUAGCCUGUCAUGGGAACUGAAAUCAGAUGCUCCUGCUCCCAGAUGAUAAAUCUGGUUAGUAAUUCAUGGCAGGAGGUGACACUAGCAGGGACCUAAAUACUCAAAAGCGUGUGUAACCAGCAAAUUGUCUCCCUGUGGGCAGAGCUAGACCUGUACAGGAAAGGGAAGCAUAACGGGGAGGCUGCUGGGUGAGUGCGAAGUCCACCUGAGGGUGUGAAUGCGUGCAGCAGCACCGGCCCUAGGCGCCGUGCAGCCAUCUGGCCUGGUGACACCCUUGGUGGCACUACGAGAGGACCAGACGCUCUUUGCCUGUUCCCUUCCCUCCCCAGUCUGCACUCAGAUUAGGUCUGAAAGAGUCACUCUCCACUGCAGAGUGUCAGAUGAGCCAUGCUUUGUGGCAUUUUCAUGCCUCCCAUCUUUUAAAAAAUGACAUCAGCCAAUUACUGAUUAAAAAUAGCGGUCAGAUAAGUCAUAAUGGUCUGGGAGACAGUUUGUUUAUUUAAAGUAGCCUUGAGCUGUUUUUGUGCUGAUCACAAAACUGAACUCUACUAUUUCCUCUCUUUCUGAACUUUUGGGGAAAUCCCUCAAGAGUGGACAACAGUGAGGAGUUUUUGCGGAGUGUGGUAAGUGCUGAGCUUAUUCAGGUGGAGGUGAGCCCAGGAUGCUAAGAGAUCACCUGACAGGUGCCACCCAUCAGGCCAGAGGGUGGAGGUCAUGGCCCAUGUAGUAGGGUGGUGCUCAUCAUCUCCUUGCUCGCAUUCCCCCAUAAAAUCCUUACUCCUAAGCCCUCUUGUCCCCUGUGUGCCUUGUUCAGAGUUAAUUGAACCAUACCAGACAAUUGAGCCUGGAGCAGUGGUUCUCAGGUACAGUUCUUGGAGCACCUGCCGAGCACCUCUUUCCUGAGGAAAUGGCCUCUGGAGUUGUCCUGCAUGGAAAGGGGCAUUUUUCACAUAAGCACUUGGUGACUCUUCAGUGCACCUGAGUUGGAAAGCCACUGCCUUAGAAGAAAGCAGAUGGCAGCACUUUUCAGAUUCGGAAUUUGGAUGAAGGGAUGCUGAUGAAUCUGUCAGGGAGGUGAGGCAGGCGGGGGGCUGGGACAGUGUCUUACUCCCUGUGCAUGUUGAAGUGGAGAAUAUCGGUCUGCUGAAAGGGGCAGGAGAAGGGAUCAGACAAGAAGAAAGGAGAGACUGCACACCAUGCUGCCCCUGGGAGAGAAGAGUAGCCUCCUCGGUUCCUGAUGUCAAAGUCCUCAAUCCCAGGCCCCUGUACGUGAGGUAGGUAGAACCAGUCAGGGGCUGGGUCUAGGGGCACCGUGGUGAGGGGCCAGAAGUAAGUAAGUGGAGAUGGGGCAGGAGCGUGGUGGGUUCUCCCACCCCCGGGGGCUAUGGGUCAAAAGAGGGCUGCAAGCUUUCUCUCUUUCCUCACACAUUGUCCCAGACACAUCCCAGUGUCCUGCAUGUGUCCCUGUUCAGUUGUUCACUGACCCAUGGUUUCUCUGAGUGAAGGCAAAGAUCUAUCCCACUUGUGAUGAAUUUCAUCCUUAUUAUGUGUUAUGUUAGUUGUUGGAUCCAUGCUUUUUUACUGAAUCUUAGGAAAUAGAAUUGUUAUAAAAUUUCCAUCACACAGACGCCAGUGGCACCACUGUUACCUAGCAGAUAUGGCCACUGUCCUGUGGUUCCAGAUGUCUCAACUCAUGAAUGAAAUUCCCUCUGCAUACAGAAGGCUGUAUUUAGGAACAGGCUCUUCAGAGGCUGAAGAGCAGCCAGAUGCCCAUCGGUGCCUUUAUCUGCCCAGCUGUGGAAAAGGCAGCUUUAUUACUGGCUCACAGCAUUUGGCCCCUCUCCUCCCCAUCCCUUGGUCCUCUGGCCCAGAGUCAGGCCAGUUCCUGUGGGCCAUCCCCUGACCUUGGCCAGUACUUGGCCAACGUUAGGAUUCCUACUCUGGAGAAAGCAAAAGGGAGAUGUGAAAGUGAGAGGUGUAUAAGAGUCCACCUUCAAGCCAGGAAGUGAAGGAGGUGAGUUUUCCCUGUGGCUGGAGCUCACCUUCGUCAGUGGUGAAGAUGAAAUGAGGGCUUUGGCAUGGAGCUCAGGGCCAGAGCAUGCCACAGGAAGGUGCAUGCAGACAGCACCGCAGGAUGCCUGGGCAUGCCUGGGGGCGUCAGCUCUGAGAGAGGCCUUGACAUGGGGAGCCCAUAGAGGAGAGCGAGGAGCUAAGGAGCAUCAGGAGACCCAGCACGAAGGAAAAGGAAGUGGGAAUUGAAUUAACUUCCACAUUGUAGAUUGAAUGUUUUCUUCCUGGUUGUGAACUUAAAAUAGCAUUCUAAAACGACAGGGGGAAAGGUUUCUUUUACUAGUCACCUAUUUGUCUAAUAGAUUUCCCCAUUUUGUGACUAGCCUUAUGUAAGCUUAUAUGGCCAUUGUCUCCUGUGUCAGUGGCUCUGUGACUGUAGCUCUAUGUGAGAGUGUGUCGCCUGUCACACCUUUCACACCUAGGCGUUCUCUUCUGUUUUGCCCUCCGAAGAGCACUAGAUCCCUUUAUGUGGACAUUGCCAUCAUUUUCUGUAUGCAAAUAAUGUGCUAUAUAUGCAGUAAGAACAACAUGUCUAGGUUUAUAAGGUUAAUAAUACAACAUAGCAGACCAGUGGGUGUGGCUUGCAAUUUCUACAUUGAAUAUUUUGCAGGUGCUUGAGUUUGUGUUAGAAUCGGGAAGUAAAGCUGUAAGUUUUCUUGAAACCUGACUUAACAAUUAGGUAACAUCAGGGUAGAGACUUCUGCUUGUUCCUUGUUAAUGAAAUUAACAUUCCUCCCAGGAGGAAUGCUGAGUUUGGGUGCAGUGACUUGAUGUAGUUAGAAUAGGGUGUGCUUGUCCCUACCUGAGUGACUUGAGCUUCCAGAGUGUGCAGUUGAAAUGCAGCGUUUCUCUGGGGAGGUCCGACACAGCUCUUGUUUUAUUGAUCUCUGCCAGUGUCAGAGGCCGAUCUCCCUUGGAAGUGUACACUUGGGAGGGGGGUCAAGCAGGCGUGGUCUACUGUGGUCUCUGCUGUUGUAGGCUACCCUUUACCAUUUAGGCCUAAGAGAGAUCCCAGCUUCUGUUUAAGUAGGUAGUCCUUCUCCUGAUUUAAGACGCUCCUCUGCUCUACACUGGAUCUGCACGAGUAGCUCUAGACCCUGUCAGGUCCUGGUGAGUAAUCAGUCCUUCUCCUGAUUUAAGACCCUGUUGGGUCCCAUGGUCCGCUGGUCCUCACACCACACCUUGGUGUUGGAGAGAACUUGGCUUCCAUGUGUUCGGGUCACCUUUCCAACAGACUCCCACCCCACAGACCUUCUUACAUAGAGUCAUGUUGAUAUUUCUGUGUAUACUCUUCCAGGAGAGCUGGGUCACAUGUCUGUCAAGACCUCUUACCAGAAGGAGAGUCACCUUUUUUGCUGCUGAUUGUUUUUGCAGUUUAUAUACAUCUUGUCCACUUAGGACCCACUUGGUGUCCUUCUGUAAGUUCUUAAGGGUGUUUGUUUUAGUUCUUAAGGUUUUGUCUGGAGUUCCAAAUGCUUUGUUAUAUAUUUAUGAGAAUUUUUUUUUCUACUAUUAAUGUAGAUUUUCCUACCUUGCUGUCCUUCUGGUGUGGGUUUUCAGUUCAGAAUAAUGCUUUUUCCACAUCCGCCCCUUUCCUAGGACUUCUCUGAGAAGAUGUUGAUAGUGGCUGUGGUGGGGCAUUGCUCCCCAUCAUGACCACCUUGGAGAGUAACUUAGUGUUUGAUGCUGCACUUGCUUGCACUUCCUUAAGUUGACCAUUGGCUGAGAGUAUAUGAGGAAGGACUGACGAAGUUAUCGACAAGUUACUUUGUAACUUGUACUGGCUGCGCGUGGGCCCCCCAACCCAUUAUGAAUAGCAGUGUACCCUUGUAGGACAUCAUCCUCCUAUUGUGGAAUAGCCUUUCAUGAGUUAUUUCUCAGACUUUGCUUGAUGGAAUUUAUUAAGUGUUUUUGCAUCUAAAUGCAAAAAAAAUGUUUAUUUAACAGUUUCUAUAAAAAUACUAGGAUGAAAAAGGCAACAGAUGCCUUCGGGGACCUGUGGGCAGGGUUUGGGUACAGUGCCCUGUUGGGGUCAAACAUAGUCCAGCACAUCUCUGAUUACUUGGGUGCCUUUCUAGACCAUUGUCGGGCAGACUCCUUCCUUAGCCUUAACAUUUCCUUCAAUGAUAUUAGACAAACCUGGAGACUUUCUUCCCCUCAACCACCUGCAAACACAUAUCUUCUGUUUUCUUCAGUGGUAGGCGUGGCUGUUGCCAUGGAGAAGCUGUCCUGGGGAAGUGGGGGCCGAGUGGGUAGAGCAGUUAUGCUUUUGAUUGGCCAGACUCGCUGUCCCAGGAAGAGGUCACCUGGCAUCUGGUCUGCCCCAGCGAGGGUGAGGUGAGUACGGGGCCCUGGCAGGCACUGACGCCAUGUCAGACUCCACUGCUGGUUGCCUCUGGGCUGUCAGUGGAGGACAGGGUGAGUCAGGGGUAGGGUUGGGCCCCUCGGCCAGGAGGGUCGCUGUCCCUUUUGCAUGCGGCCCACCUGGGCUCAGGUAGCCCUGCAGGAGGAUGCCUGCCAGUGCUGUCCGCCCUGACUCUGGCC
rnacentral:lncRNA from 1 species